GGCGUAAACAAAGGGAAGCGAGCCUGUGAGGGGGAGCGAAUCCCAAAAAUAACGUCUCAGUUCGGAUUGUAGUCUGCAACUCGACUACAUGAAGCUGGAAUCGCUAGUAAUCGCGAAUCAGAAUGUCGCGGUGAAUACGUUCCCGGGUCUUGUACACACCGCCCGUCACACCAUGGGAGUUGGUAACGCCCGAAGCCAGUGACCUAACCGAAAGGGAGGAGCUGUCGAAGGCGGGACCGAUAACUGGGGUGAAGUCGUAACAAGGUACC
rnacentral:rRNA from 1 species